rnacentral:rRNA from 1 species
UACAGAGGGUGCGAGCGUUAAUCGGAAUUACUGGGCGUAAAGCGCGCGUAGGCGGCUUUGCAAGUCGGGUGUGAAAUCCCCAGGCUUAACCUGGGAACUGCAUUCGAGACUGCAUUGCUAGAGUAUGGGAGAGGGAAGUGGAAUUUCCGGUGUAGCGGUGAAAUGCGUAGAUAUCGGAAGGAACAUCAGUGGCGAAAGCGACUUCCUGGACCAAUACUGACGCUCAUGAUGCGGAAAGCGUGGG